CUGGGAUCAACUGCUCCUAGAAGAGAAGCAGGACCCUCUGUCACCCCCAACCCCACCUUGACUGUCACCAAAGAAGAAGCCAGAGAAGGGAGCCCCCCACUACUGUGGCCUAGGAGCUUGGAAGACAAUGCUGAGACAGACAUCUGAGCUGUGGGCUCCCCAAAUCUGCCAGCAAAGGACUCUCAAGGAUGGAUCAGGAAUAGAAGCUCCGGAGCCCGGGACAUAGGAACAGCUCUACUUUCCCUUUCAUUUCAUUCAAUAAAACCCAAAAGAAACUCC